AGCUGCGGUAGCUCAGCUUGCCCAGGUCCGACAGCGGCUUCUCGGGGGAGCCCACCGUGUUCUCCAGCUUGGACAGCUCGUAGCCUGCGGACCCCGGCGUCCGGGGGGACCCCGGCGUCCGGGGGACAGGGAGGUUCAGGGGACAGGGAGGUUCAGGGGGGGACCCAGGAGUUCGGGGGACAGGGAGGUUCAGGGGGACCCAGGGGGUCACAGAGGGACCCAGGAAUUUUCAGGGGGACCCCGGCGUCCGGGGGACACAGGAGUUUGGGGGACACAGAGGUUCAGGGGGACCCAGGGGGUCAGAGAGGGACCCAGGCGUUCGGGGGAGAAGGAGGUUCAGGGGGACCCAGGCAUUCGGGGGAGGGGACCCAUUUCAGGCCCCCCCCCCCGCCCCUAUUCAGCCCUAUCCCCCCCACUUUAGCACCUCCCCCUCUCUAAGAAUCCCCCAUCCCAUUUGGGGACCCCCCAGCCCCAUUUUAAGGCCCCUCCCUCCCACUUUAUGCUCCCUCCCCCCCCAAUUUUCGGGGACCGCCCCACCGGGCGUCCCCCCCCCUCCCCGUUCCGGGUGCGGCGCUCACUGAAGGCGAUGAGGAACUUCCCGUAGCCGCGGCGCUGGUACGGCGGCAGCGUCAGGAUGCACGCCACGUUGUUCCCGUCCGGAGACUCCUUCUCCUGGGGGCAGCGGGGGGUGACGCGUCCCCAGGUGUCCCCACGCGCCCCCAGGUGUCCCCAGGUGUCCCCACGCGCCCCCAGGUGUCCCCACGCGCCCCCACGCGCCCCACGGACCUUGGAGAAGUAGCCGACGAUGUGUGCGCCGUGGCGGUCGACCUCGGUGAGCAGGUAGAACACGAAGGGCUCCACGUCGAAGUAAAGGGUCUUAUGGUCCAGGAACAGCUUGGCCAGCAGA